rnacentral:rRNA from 1 species
UACGUAGGUGGCAAGCGUUAUCCGGAAUUAUUGGGCGUAAAGAGCGCGCAGGUGGUUAAUUAAGUCUGAUGUGAAAGCCCACGGCUUAACCGUGGAGGGUCAUUGGAAACUGGUUGACUUGAGUGCAGAAGAGGGAAGUGGAAUUCCAUGUGUAGCGGUGAAAUGCGUAGAGAUAUGGAGGAACCCCAGUGGCGAAGGCGGCUUCCUGGUCUGCAACUGACACUGAGGCGCGAAAGCGUGGGGAGCAAACAGG